CGGACGGGUGAGUAAUGUAUGGGGAUCUGCCUGAUGGCGGGGGAGUAACUACUGGAAACGGUAGCUAAUACCGCAUAAUGUCUGCGGACCAAAGCGGGGGACCUCCGGGCCUCGCGCCAUCAGAUGAACCCAUAUGGGAUUAGCUAGUAGGUAAGGUAACGGCUUACCUAGGCGACGAUCCCUAGCUGGUCUGAGAGGAUGACCAGCCACACUGGGACUGAGACACGGCCCAG
rnacentral:rRNA from 1 species